rfam:Batrachochytrium dendrobatidis JEL423 supercont1.70 mitochondrial scaffold, whole genome shotgun sequence.
AAAAUAAAUAUGUAUGAUCAUAGCUAACAAAGGACACAAAUCAUUAAGUAACACAUGUUAAUAAAAAGAUAUUUAUAUAUCUAAUAUAAGAGGGUGAGAAAAGGAUCUUAUUACCUUUUAAUUAAAUAAAGAGAAAGAUAUGAGAUCCAUAGGUUUAGGUAAAUGAUAGAAAUAGAAAGCUAUCAUGCCCAUAAUCCUUAACGAAAGUCACAGGAUUGCUAAAAAACAAUCCCCAUAGGCAGCAGUGAAAAAUAUUGAGCAAUGAAUUUCUAUUUGACUCAGUUAAUGAUUUUUAUCUAUUAGAAUGAUUUAGAUAAUUACUAGAAAGGAAUCCUCAAGAUUUCAAAGAUAGUUUAUUCUGGAGAAUUUCUGUGCCAGCAGCCGCGGUAAAACAGAUAGAAUAGUGUAAUUGAUAAUAAAUAGGUUUAAAAGUAAAUAGAUGGUUUCUUAUACAACUAGAAUCUUUAAGAAAUUUAAUGAAUAAUUGAUUUAAAGAUGGAAUUUUAUAAAAUCAAUUGGAAAAACAUGUGAUAACAUUAAAUUAUUAAUAGAUUGACAUUAGAUUACUAAAGUAUAGUCAAUAAACCAGAUUAGAUACCUGAUUAAUCUAUACCCUCAAUUGAAAGUGAAUAACUUUAUACCUCCUUAGUAUUUUGGCAACAUUGAAAUGGAAUUGAUUUGACGGGUCUUAACAACAGCAGUGGAAUAUGUGGUUUAAUUAGAUAAUACUCUAUACAUCUUACCUUGAUUCUUAGUAUUGCAUGGCUAUUGUAAGUUUCUUUAGCAAUAAUUUAAUUGACUAAUAUAAUCCUUUCUUCUGGAUUACUUACUUUAAGUACUCAUGAUCUAUAUCUAGGGCUAUACAUUUAUUACAUUGAUAAGUUUAAUUUAAUAUUAUCCUUAUCUUGUUCUGAUAAUUAACUGUAAUUUGUUAAUUUGAAGGAGGAAUUGCUAGUAAUCAAUCUUUACUAUCGAUUGAUGAAUUUUAUCUUGAGAUUGUACAAAUCGCCUGUCAAAACAUGAUAGAGAUCUCGAUUUAUUCGUUUUCUUGAUUAGGUUUAAGUCAUAACAAAGUCGUGCUAUCGGAAGCUGGUGCGUUAUUUCCUAUUAG